rnacentral:rRNA from 1 species
UACGUAGGGUGCAAGCGUUAAUCGGAAUUACUGGGCGUAAAGCGUGCGCAGGCGGUUAUGCAAGACAGAUGUGAAAUCCCCGGGCUUAACCUGGGAACCGCAUUUGUGACUGCAUAGCUGGAAUACGGCAGAGGGGGAUGGAAUUCCGCGUGUAGCAGUGAAAUGCGUAGAUAUGCGGAGGAACACCGAUGGCGAAGGCAGUCCCCUGGGCCUGUACUGACGCUCAUGCACGAAAGCGUGGGGAGCAAACAGG